rnacentral:lncRNA from 1 species
ACCUCCUUGGCCGCUAAAAACAGCCUCGUUCUGAGCAGAUAAUCAAAUCAGCGAGAACAGGGACUACUACCUGGGCUGCAACCAAAACCGCAGCGUCUCCUCGGUCCCGUCUGUGCGUGGGGACUGCUACAGUUUAUGCUGCGGAAAUGCACGAAGUUGGUCUCUGCUCCCCGCCUCCAUUGUUUUUUAGCUCAGUUCCUCAUUAUCUCCUGGAUCGUGCUCACCACAAUGUAUUGAAUGCAUUAUUUUCUUAUUGUUCCUUUGUGAUUUCACUUGUUCUCUCUCUCCCCCACUACAAGCUGCAUGAUGGCAAAGGCUGCCUGCCUCCUUCCCCGCUCUAUGUCCAUCACCUGGCAACAGCCCCUCGACAUAGUAGGUGCUCAAUGAGUACUUAUUGGAUGAGUACAUGGGCAAAUGAAUAUAGAGAAAUUGACUUAUCUGUGCAAGGUCAUGGGAACAAGGCGGCAAAGAUAGUAUCGAAUCCUAGAUCUGUCUGAAUCCAAAUCACAUGGUCCUCCUAACCCCCAUGGCAAAGAGAUAAGGCGAUUCAGUGAGAUGGGGCAGUGCAUUGUCCUUCGGGAGCUGGGAGUCCAGCAGAGGAGAGAGAAAAAGUCAAUGGGUGUCAGGGUGGGAUGCCAAAUUCAAACUGGGCGAGGACUCAGUGGAGAGUUUCCCAGAUAUUAAAAGAACGUCUUAAAAGGACCAGAAUCAAUCUUCCUCCCCUUUUAGCAAAGAUGGGCAAUACAACAUUUAUCCUCUCCUCGUCCUCGGGGACUUUGAGUCUCUUACGGUUCCCAAAAAUAAUGGCCCGUGGCUCCAUAAAUGCACGUCCAGGUCCUAGAAGUAGCCUGAAGUCAAGUACCAGGCUGGUUCCAUCUGGCAAAUCCUGGCCCUGGCAGCUGUGUCUGCCUCCACAGCCUGCCAACUGCUAGCCAGAGCCUUUCGGGAGCCAGUGUGGGAGCAAACUCCCAUGACUCAUGGCUGGGGAAGCUGUCGGGGUGAGGGGAGGCAGGGGCACAUGAGGGCAAGGGCAGGGAGCGAGGCAAAGGCAGAAGGAAUGGGCCAUGGAAGGAAGGAGGGCACCAGAGGUGGUGACGGAAUAGGGAAGAAGGAAAAGAGAGGGAAGGAGAGAGGAAGGAAGGAAGGAAGAAGAGAAGGGGGAAGGGGGAAGGGGGGAAGGAAGGAAAUAUGGGUAAUAGCAACAAUAAGAGAUACUUUCUGAGUAUUGAGAAUUGCCUUGAAUUGUGUGAAGUCUCUAAAAGGCAUAAUCCCCUGGAAUCCUGAAAACAAUCCUAGGGGGUAGAUUCUUUUUUCAUGUCCUUUUUAUGGGAAAUGAGCUACAGAGAUCUUAAGCAAUCUAAGGACACAUCGGUAGUAGUGAGUGGUGGAUUCAGAUGUGAAACUCAGGGGAGGGAAAGAGCUGGUGUAGUGGUUGGGAUGGAGGAGGGUGGGACCAUGGGAAGAAGGACAGAGAUGGAGUCUGUAGGCAUGAAAUUUCCAGGAUGUGUGAGGCAGACGGGGAGUCCUGGAAGCCAGACUCUGGCUCAGAGUGGCCGUCUUUAGCAGGCAGGGAUUGGAGGGUGGCCUACUCACCUCGGAUCUCAGGUUCUUACCGGCAGCUCGAGGAGGCUCUUUGCUUGAACGGAUUGUAUCGGAGAUUCCUUGGUGGACGCGUGAGCCCGAGAGAAUGGCAGUGCCAUUGUCAGAUACCGAUCCUUCUUUCUUAACACAAAACAAACAGGAGCCGCAAAAUUAAUUCAAUUUCGUUAUGUUUAGGAACAAGGAAGACAAAGAAAGAAAGGAAGUUAUUAAAAUAAAUACAAAUGGCUUCUAUAUGCCCCA